UGUUGAGAGAGGCAGUGUGGUAGAAUAACCAGGCUGCUUGGAUUUGGCUUGGCUUUGUUUUGGAAUAUCUGUACAGAACGAUCAUUUCAGGGGAAGAGAUUCUGAUGUAGCCAAAACAGCAGCACCUGCAAACAAGAGGGAAGGUGUCAGCAGGCUUGGGGAAACACCAAGGUUUGAAGGAGUACAAAAUUGUCUUCGGUUUAGGGAGGGAACUAGGCUGGGGAACUCCUCACAAAGCACAGUGAGAACUGAGCGUACACGGAAAAGUGUGUGACUGAGCAGGGGAGUGAAAAUGGAAUGGUAUUGCAGAAUCGUAGCGUUGGAAGGGACCACGAGGGUCAUCUAGUCCAACCCCCUGCAAUACAGGGAUCUUUUGCUCAAGGUAGGACUCGAACGCACAACCCUGAGAUUAAGAGUCUCAGGCUCUGCUAUCAGGAAUAAGGCAUGACUGGCUGUAACCCUAAGCAGAACUGAUGCAGGUUCUACUUACGUAUAUCCCAAUAUUUUCCAUUCAUUUCGUGUCUCCUGUUCUGCGGAAUCAGCAGGGGAACAUCAUCCCAGAUUCAUACUUCUAAACUCUUAGGUCAAUCUGUGGCAAGGAAUACCAUAUAGCAGGCAUGUGCUCAGGGUGUGAUUUGUGAAUAAAACAAGCCCAAGCAAGAAUGCUGCCAGAACGAGGGUCGGGCACAAGUUGGGGCCAAUCUCUCUCAACUUUCUGUUUUAAACUUGCUGGAACGUUCUGCAUGUUGCAGCGUGCCACCGCUCUGCCUUAUCACUGCUCUGCUACUUUUAGGAUGCAUAAUCUUUCUGUGUGACCAGAGAGGUGUGGGAGAGGAACGUCCCUUGAACUUAAAGUGAAAAGGCCCACCGAUCUGGCUGUGUUUCCCUGGAGCUAAGGGACUAAGGAGCAGGAGAAAGGUGACAGGCAGUGCUGCCCCCUAGACUAAGGUUGAGCCUAGGUGGAAACACAGCUUACAGACUCUAACAGACAGCUAAAGUCCACUGUUCUGGCAUCAGAUCUCCAGGGAGACACAGUGGGCACCCGAAGAUCUCUACUCAACUCAGUUUGUUGCUGUUGAUGUGUCUCAUUCAAACAGCAAUCUUCUUAGUUUCCUCUCUCACACAGUUACCUUCCUGCACCCAACUCACACCUCCUACUAGAGGGUAUUGGAAAGUGGAUGAGUCACUUCAUCGAACUAUCACUUAAUCUUCUUGGACCUUCUUAGGUUUUCCAUGAAAACCUGCCUCCUAAAUAUCAGGGCCAUCAACACGUUUUUGGGUCAGAUUUAAGGUCCUGCAAACACCAUACAUUUAAUGUACUUUUAUAGCACAUGACUCCCCCCCCCCAAAGAAUCCUGGGACCUGUAGUUUAUCCUUCCUAGCACCUUUAACAACCUACAGUUCCUGGAAUCCUUUGGGAGGGGAGUCAUGUUUGGGAAAUCAAAACUAGCCUUAAUGUGUGUGCCAAAGUGAUCAGGUCUGAGAUGGCCACAGAAUCUUUAUUUGCAAGGGGAUGGAAAACAACCAUUAAAGUUCCAAAGCUCUAUUUCCUAACCAAACUUUUACACAGCUAGGGCAUCCUCUCUCUUAUGGAGAGCUUAUGGCAUGGUUUGCAGGAACAGGGUAGUAAGCAAUUUUUGGUGAUUCACCAUCCCACUUAAACCUGUUCUAGGGGAUUGGGAGGGUGGUUGCAGGGGAAAUCACAGAAAUUGCUUCCUUUAAUGGUCCACUAACAGAAGCCAUACAACUAGCUGAGCUGUACUAUUGGACACAACCCAUUGGGACUUACUUCUAUAGUCUUAAAAUCAGCAGUUUUAGUUAUCUGGUGAAUUUGAUUUUAGGCGUGUCUCUGCCAGAAA